GUAGAUGCACCAUUUCACAACUUCAGCAAAAGCCAAGGCAGCCAACAAAGGCUCAGCCACCUCAGCUGUGCCUCUGCCGCUUGGACGGCUCACCAGCCAGCCUCUGAAGCAGAUCAUGCCAUCCUUUCCUUUUUAAAACCCAUGUCAUCACCAGAUCAUAACGGAAAUCAAUCUCCUCAAACCAUCAUGCAAAGGCAAAGGCGUAUCCAUAGCAACCCCAAAGGAAGGACACAGAGAUGCUCCAGUGGCUGCAGCAAAAAAAAGAGACAGAGUCUGACAGCACUUAAAACUGAACAAAGCACUCAUUAAAAGGAAGCCACUAUCAUUAUGAUGAAGAUGAAGAAGCCUAUAAGCAUUGGACUCCAGCUCAGACAGGCUCCUCCACACUCCUGGGGCUUGUCUAAGGCUCUCUCUCCUUACUCUGAUCAACUGCAUCUAGCUUCUCUCACCAUAUCUAAGCACCUGUCCUGAUGGAGCUCACACUGGCCACCUACCCCUCAGCCAACAAUCUUGCAGAGAAAGGCAACUGAACUUCUUAGGUAAGAAUCCCUUUGCACACACCGCUGCCUCUUUCCUCCUGAAUCCAUCCCUCCUCCAUUCCUCUGCACCUCACCUCCUCUUCUGAGGACCUUCAUUUCAGUAGUACCCUCUGCUGGUUCUUACACAUCCCCACAAAAACCUGCCCUGGCCUCUUCAAUUCUAGGAACAACUAUUUCUAGUCCUUACCGUGUCCACAGAAUCUAUCCUUCCAUUGUCUGCCAAACUGUGAGUUUGUAGCCCUUAGUGCCAUCAAGCCCUGCAUCUCCACACUGCUCCGCUGGAGUUAGUCCCAUUUUCAGAGUGAAAGCAUGGUAACCAUGGCAUCUUGUUCCCCAACCCCCAGAUGUACUUGUCAAGCUCAUCCAGUGUGUCUAUCCUGAAGCAAAUGAAGAAGGGGGCUCCCUCUCGCCCUCGGAAUGUUCUUCUUCCCCACUUCCUGGGCAGCCUUGCUCACACGCACAACAAUCCCUCACUCCUCUGUCUGCCCCUGCCUUCUGUAAGUGUGGCAGGAAGAAUCCAUCCCCCCUUUACCAACUACCUUCUUCUACCAACCCUCAGCAGGGACGCUUCUGAAACUCAGACCCACAUUUGUACCGGGCUGCUGGACAUCACAGACCACUAAGGUUCAACAUGCCCCAGCAUGCCACAGUCUACCUAAGUUAGAUAACUGAGCCACUGUUAACAACCCCUUCUUAUUUGGUUAAUUCUGCCGCCACAGCCUCUCUCCGAUUCACGUGUCCUCUCCAUCCUGUUGGCCUAAUUUCACUUCAGCCUUAAAACACUUCUGUUACGGUAAGUCUCCCCAUUACAUUCUUUUUAAGUCUCCCAAUAUCCUGAGCUCAGACUCUACUCCUUCAGCUUCCUUCCACGGCCAGCUUCCCAAAACACAGUCAUGUUAUCCCUGCUUAAAGACUUCUUGUGCGGGCCAGGGAGGUGGCUCAAUAGGUAAAUGCCACCAAAUCUAACAACUUGAGUUUGAUUCCCAGGAUUAACAUGGUAGAAAGAACCAGCUCAUACAAGCAAUCUCUCUCUCUCUCUCUCACACAGAGAGAGAGAGAAUAUAUAUAAUAAAUUUUUUUUAUUAACUUCACUGUGAACAACAAUAACCCCUCCUUUGAUGCAUGCCAAAGCUCUCCCCUUCUGGCUGCUUGGAUCUACUUCAAGCCCUUUGCCCUGCAAAUAAAAAAAGAGUGUCACCUGGACCCCACUCUUCAUCCAUCACUACUUAGGUCAAUAGUCAUCUCCUUCCUGAAAUUCCCCAGCUUCUCCCUGGAGAGCCUGUUAUUUCCUUUCUGCCCUUGUAUAGACACCUUGGACAAAGUUUUGUUACAGCACCACACUUUACUGAAAAUACUGCCUACCAUCUUCUGUCCAACCUCCCCCUAAGAGGAGGAGGACCCCAAAGUGUCUAAGCACUGAGCACAGUGCCUUGCCCAGAGAGGGACAUAAUAGUCAAAAGUUAUUGUGCCAGCCGGGCUCCGGGCAUAAGAUCAGGGCCAGCCCAUAAAAGCAGAGCUGGAGAGCUGACUCAGAGGUUAAGACAGCAAUGUGCAACCGCAAAGGCCUAAGUUCAGGCUCGAGUACCCACUAGCAAGCUCAGCACUGUGAGGGAGAAGACAGUAUUGUCGGUGUUUGCUGGCUGCUUCAAGAGGCCCAUAGUGAGACUCUGUCUCAAACAAACAAACAAAACAAACAAAGGAAUAGAGUGUUAGAGAAAGCUUCCUUCUUUGACCUCCAGGGAUGUGCACAGGGACACACACUCAGACACAUAUGUGCAGAUAUCACACCACAUUCACACAUACCAAAAAACAAAAAACAAACAGGCUGGAGAGAUGGCUAGUUAAGAGCAAUGACUGCUCUUCCAGAGGUCCUGAGUUCACAACCAUCUGUAAUGGGAUCUGAUGCCCUCUUCUGGUGUGUCUAAAGAUAGCUACAGUGUACUCACAUACAUUCAAUAAUUCUUUAAAAAACAAACACCACAGGGUGGGGGGAAGUACACUUGUACAUACAUACCACACACACACACACACACACACACACAGAGCAGUGCAUGAAGCUCUUUCAGAUAAGCACCUAAACUCAUAUGCUUCCAUGGUAAAGGAACCACAGACCAGACAGGCUCUAAGUAAAAUGCAGAUCUUCUGAGAAGGAAUGUUCUUCAAAAGGCUCUAAGGGCACCAAAGCCCCGCUCUCUGCUGCAGAAAAGCAGAGAAAAGGUGAGGAUGCACACCUCAACUAAUGCCACUCAAUACCAAAAAAAAAUUAUCAAUAAGCCAAAGCCAGAAUCCCAAGAUGGCAAGGUCCCUAAGACACAUUUGCGUCAGGCAGUCUCUUACCUUGUCCUGGUCACACACUCCGAUUAACAAAGAUCACUGGAUUGAUAGACCACUGGCUCCCAGAACUAACUGCUGUACUGGGUGACGGAGGACACUGAGAACCCAGUUUCCAUCUCCCCUGAUUCGCAGACAUCUGCCAUCCCCUCCAUAACUCCCUAGCCUCUUAGCAGACCACGACAACUCCGAUCUUUGCUAACCUCCACCUCCAGGCAGCCACAACCACUGCUGGGGCUGCACAGAACCCAGAGGCAGCUGUGGACGCUCUUGCAAUUCUCCCAGCCCCUCUGACUCCUUCCGUUCAGUGUCUUCUCCUCUGCACCCUCACGUCCAGCCAGGCCUCAGUCACUACCCACACACCCUUCCUUUCUCCAUUCUUCCUAUCUGCCAUUCCAUAGCUUUGAAGAUUAGAGCAACUCAUUUCUUCUUUUUGGUGCUUCUCCAUCUGUUGCUUGUCCCACCUUACAGGAAAUUACAUCAAGUGAGAUCAUGCCCAAAAAAGCUCUGUGAUCUACACAGUUAAACAUAAAGCCAGGCGUUACUGUUCUAAUCGUCGGUCUAAAUUAUCGGUUUGCAUGCAAACUCCUGGCCUCUCCUCCCUCACUUCUGACCACUUUUGACAGCACAGUAAGGUGAAUACUUCUCAAGCGCUGCUCUCUUCACUGUCCAUCCACCACCUUCACCGCGAUCGUCUAACAGUCCCCGGUUCGGUGUGUGCAGUCUCCUCUGCCCCACCAAGGCUGUUCCCAGUGCUUUCUAUAGUCUUACACACCACGCCCACCCUUCAACGUCUAGCUAAUGCUCCACUACGUACAAACAGAGACAGAUUUAAGAACGAAUCUUCUUAAAUGUGAUGAAAGAAUUAAGCAUUGAUUCGGUUUGAAGAAAAACGCUGGGAAUAUCUGUCAUCUGAUGCUGGAAGAGGCAAUGUCCUCCUCAGCUUCCCUCAGUGUUUUUUGAGGCAGGGCCUCUGUAGCUGGGGCUAGCUUGAAACUCACUAAGUAGCCCAGACUGUCCCCAAACUCAAAGAAAUCUUCCUGUAUUUACCUCUCAGGGGCUAGGCUUAUAAACAGGUAUCACAAGCAUGGCUUAAAAGCCAACUUUCAGUUUUAUUCUUGUUUAAGUAGCCAUGGCUGUCCUGGAGUUCAAUAUGUAGAGUAAGCUAACCUCAAACUCACAGAGAUCUGCCUGCUUCUGCCUCCCGAGUGCUGGGAUUAAAGGUAUAUGCCACCUCACCUGGUAAGAGUUAACUUUUUUUGUUUGUUUGUGUUUUGAGACAGUCUGUCCAUGUAGCCCAAGCUGUCCUGGAACUCACUCUGGAGACCAGGAUGUACUCGAACUCACAGAGAUUCACUUACCUCUGCCUCCCAAGUGUUGGCAUUAAAGUUGAAUACUACAAAACCAGGCUCACUCCUGGUAGCUCCCAUUUUUAAUCCCAGCACUUGGGAGUCGGAUCUCUAAGUUCAAGGCUGCCUGGUCUACAGAGUGAGUUCCAGGACAGCCAGGACUACACAGAAAAACACUGUCUCAAAAAACAAAAACAGCACCCAAGUUGAGUGUUACCCACACCUGGAAAGUCAGCUUUUCCUUGGUUUAACUCUAAGAGAUAGCCUAGACAAGGACAGAUGCCACAGGGAGGCUUACACUAAGAAUCCUAGCAACUGGGGUGUUCAGGAGAAGCAGGCACUGAAGGCCAGUUGUGGCUACACAGGGAGUUUGAGGCCAGCCUCUAUCUCGGGGGGGGGGGGGGCAUAUUCAGUUAUUUCCCCAUUAUUAGAACUGUUCAAGCCUGAUUGCAAAAUUUGCCAAACUGACAAGAGUAUCACAUAUGGAGGUCAGCUACAGCAAAGGUGGCUGCGGUUAGAAGCCCAGCACUGAGAUGAGAGGAGGCUGAGAGGUCUUCUGGUCCUAACUCCUGGUUUAAGGGCUGGAUAAAGUAACUAACCCAGAGCAGUAGUUUGUUCUACAUAGCAGGUAGCAAAAUGUGCCUGUCAGCUAAGAUCUUGCCCCUGAACAGCAUCACCUGAGAACCUGUUACAAAUGCAGACUAGAUAAGAGCUAUAUUUCCACCAGACUCUAUUAAACACAUACCUCCAUUAAAGUAAAAACCACUGGCACACACUGCCCCUUUACAAUGGUGGGUUUCUACCUCGGGAACUUCAUUUCCAAAAACAGCACCAGACGUUAAGUAGACACGACCAAAACUCAAGCAAGCAAGCAAGCAAGCAAACAAACAAACAAAAAUCCAGUAUCUCCCUGUCUAUUUGGGGGAGAUUAUGCAUAUAUAUAUAUAUAUACAUACAUAUAUACACACACACACACACACACAUACAUACACACAUACAUACACACACAUACACAUGCCCUAGAGACUCUUGAGAAAUAUAUCCAGCAUACUAAAAGUUCUGAAAUAGUCUGCUGAGAAAACCUGAACUUUCAAAUAUAUAUAUGAAUGCAAAGCACCUUUUACAUAAUAAAGUUAUGGAGCUGAAGAGCUGGUUCAGUGGUUAAGAGCACCUACUGUUCUUACAGAGGACCUGACUUCAGUUACUAGAACUACAACUGGCUCUAACUCCAGCUGCAGGGGCCUGACAUUUCUGGUCCCUACACUCAUACAUAUUUUCCUAUUUUUUAGGUUAUCCUUAUCUGUUUAAAUACAGUACAAGAAGACAGGCUUUGACAGCACAGUAGGCUAAGGACGCCAAUUUCUGACACAGUUCUUCCAUUCUCAGUACCUUUUAAGUACACCAGGGUAACAAGGGGCCAGCAGCCGCUUGCAGCUCUCUGCGCUGCUGUAAAUGGAUUUCAGUCUAAAGACCUGCCUCUUUGAAAACAGCAAUUUCGCAUCUGUGUGCUUUAGCUGUCGUCCUGCUCAGUUACGAGAGGUGUGUGUACAAGACGACUACACAAGGAUCGUUUUGUAAGCCUAGUUGGACCCCAGGACAAGGCGUACUCACACAUCAAACGCAUUUCCAGACCCUCCACGUCUGAACCCUCUAGGAUUAAUUUUUGUCUUCGUUUAACACAAAUUCCUAAACACGUGCCCACAGAAAGCCUGCGCUCACUACGGUGUCACAGUAAGCAGGGGCCCCUCGCAAAUCUGAAGGAGAGUGGGCAAGCCUGGGAGAAGCGCUCAGCGGGGCCCCAGGCCUGCCCGGCCGCCCGCCCGGGUGCCACCCACCCUUCGAGCCCACCAAGUCCUAACCCCGAGUCCCCGCCAGCUCCGCGAGAGCUUCGGGGCAGCUCAGCAGACAGUCGGCGGGGUCGCCGCCCGCGUACCUGCUGUCAGGGCUCCGCGCCCCGAUCGGCCCCGCCGCCGCCCGCCGCUCCGGACUUGCUGCCCCGCCCCGCCCCGCCCCACGGACUGCCCUGCGCGCCGCCCGCUCCCGCAGUGAUCCCCAAAGCCCUCGGGUCCCAGAAAACUCUAGAUUUCUGUGAGCAGUCUCCUCAUUCCUGCUGCCUCGCCCUAGCUGACAAGGUCUCGCCAAGCGAGGCAGAGAAAACAUCGAUAAGGCACUGAGCUAGACACCUGCGGCAGGAUGCGUGCAUGUGUGCAUGCGCACGCGCACUACGUCUGGGAAGUGGAUUAGGACCGCGGUCGUGAGGCGGGGCGGGGUGAACGCCCUCUGCUGGAGGAGGAUCUUAGGGGAAGGAUUGGGAAUUUUGUUUUGAUCUCAAAAAGUGACAAUUAUGGCCUGGAGAUCGGGAGAAAUAAAUUAAGAUGUCCAUUC